GUCACGAACUGGCAAAUUAAUUGAAAGAUUAAGACGCAAAACCACCGGCCUAAAAAUUAUGUUAAUAAUUCAAGGUAGCGGGGUUACCGAA
rfam:Vibrio angustum S14 1099604003226 genomic scaffold, whole genome shotgun sequence.